AGUGGGAUAGCUGGGUCAAAUGGCAGUUCCAUUCCAAGUUGUCUGAGGAAUCUCCAUACUGCUUUCCAUAGUUAUUGCACCAAUUUGCAGUCCCACCAGCAAU
rnacentral:miRNA from 1 species